CUCACAGUUUGGUCCCAUAGGUUGGUACGAUCUUCGUUGGAGAAGGAAAAGGGAUGUUCCAGAUACAGAAAAUCGUCAAACCAUUUACUACAAAGUCCGUUUCUGGGUGGAGUUAGUGGAACCGAAAAAGAUGUCUCCCUCACAGCGUUUGUGACAAAAGAAUUGCAUCGUUCCUUGGUGGCCUUUCAACAGAAGAAUAUUCAGAGAUUUCCCGAGUGAUUCUGAUGUCGGUUCCUGGAAAGCCUCCAUUGUUGGAGGACGAGAAGCCGUAUCCAAUUGAAGCAGCACAGGCUUCUGCGAUGACUGUGGAAACCACUGCUUAUGCCUUGCUUCAAGCAUUGUCAAGGAAUGAUAUUGACUAUGCAACACCGAUUGCGAGGUGGCCAACGAUGCAACAGAACUAUGGUGGUGGAUUUCACUCGACGCAGGACACAAUCAUUGCCUUGGAAGCUUCAUCAUGAUACGACAUUGCAUUUCUGAAGAGGGAAGAAGAAAUCAACAUGCAAAUUCAAUUCCAUGGUUUUGUAAGUCCCAUUGAGAACAUGAUUCAUGUGCGCUGGCAUAAUGCUCUGACCGAGAAAGAAUCGAAGCUUCCGCUUGGAAGAAAGAUUCACAUCAAGUUGACUGGUCAAGUAAAUGGGACACUGACUAACCAUACAAUUAGACUGUUUUGAUGAGGAACUUAAAGAUUACGAGUCCCGUCCGUUUGACUCAGAGUUUGGUACCAUAGGUUGGUACGAUCUUCGUUGGAGAAGGAAAAGGGAUGUUCCAGAUACAGAAAAUAGUCAAACCAUUUACUACAAAGUCCGU